rnacentral:rRNA from 1 species
GGUGUAGGCGGCUUGUUAAGUCGGAUGUGAAAUCUCCCGGCUAAACUGGGAGGGGUCAUUCGAUACUGGCAGGCUGGAGUGCAGCAGAGGAAAGCGGAAUUCCCGGUGUAGUGGUGAAAUGCGUAGAUAUCGGGAGGAACACUAGUGGCGAAGGCGGCUUUCUGGGCUGUUACUGACGCUGAGGUCCGAAGGCGUGGGGAGCAAACAGGAUCAGAUACCCUGGUAGUCCACGCAGUAAACUAUGGACACUAGGUAUGGGGAGUAUCGACCCUCUCCGUGCCGAAGCUAACGCUUUAAGUGUCCCGUCUGGGGAGUACGGUCGCAAGACUAAA